GCGCGAAAACUUUACAAUGCGGGAAACCGUGAUAAGGGGACCCCGAGUGCCUGCAUCUGGAGAAAGGGCCGGGCAAGACCGGUGCCAGCCGCCGCGGUAAUACCGGCGGCUCGAGUGGUGGCCACUAUUACUGGGCUUAAAGCGUCCGUAGCCGGGUUGUUAAGUCUCUUGGGAAAUCCAACGGCUCAACCGUUGGGCUUCAAGGGAUACUGGCAAUCUAGGGACUGGGGGAGGUGAGAGGUACUCUAGGGGUAGGAGUGAAAUUCUGUAAUCCUUGGGGGACCACCUGUGGCGAAGGCGUCUCACCAGAACAGCUCCGACGGUGAGGGACGAAAGCUGGGGGAGCAAACCGGAUUAGAUACCCGGGUAGUCCCAGCUGUAAACGAUGCGCGUUAGGUGUAUCGGUGACUACGAGUCACCGAGGUGCCGAAGGGAAACCGUGAAACGUGCCGCCUGGGAAGUACGGUCGCAAGGCUGAAACUUAAAGGAAUUGGCGGGGGAGCACACAACGGGUGGAGCCUGCGGUUUAAUUGGACUCAACGCCGGGAAGCUCACCGGGUAAGACAGGGAGUGAUAGCCAGGCUGAAGACUUUGCUUGACCAGCUGAGAGGAAGUGCAUGGCC
rnacentral:rRNA from 1 species